rnacentral:rRNA from 1 species
AAAGGAAUAGACGGGGGCCCGCACAAGCGGAGGAACAUGUGGUUUAAUUCGAUGAUACGCGAGGAACCUUACCCGGGUUUGAACGGCUAUUGAAUAUAUAUGAAAUUAUAUAGUCGCAAGACAAUAGUCGAGGUGCUGCAUGGUUGUCGUCAGCUCGUGCCGUGAGGUGUCGGGUUAAGUCCCAUAACGAGCGCAACCCUUGCCGACAGUUGCCAUCGGGUAGAGCCGGGGACUCUGUCGGGACUGCCGGUGUAAACCGUGAGGAAGGCGGGGAUGACGUCAAAUCAGCACGGCCCUUACAUUCGGGGCUACACACGUGUUACAAUGGGCAAUACAGAGGGCAGCGAUAUUGUGAAAUAAAGCUAAUCCUCAAAGUUGUUCUCAGUUCGGAUCGGAGUCUGCAACUCGACUCCGUGAAGCCGGAUUCGCUAGUAAUCGCGCAUCAGCCACGGCGCGGUGAAUACGUUCCCGGGCCUUGUACACACCGCCCGU